CAGGCUCCCGGCUCCCGGUGCGAACCCAGCACUCACUCUCCUCGCCAACCCAUCCUGCGCCCUCCCCGCCGCACUCCCCUUGCCCCCUAUACUAUCUGAGGGUCCUAGGAGGGAGGAAAAGCCAGAGCAGUCACCUCCAGUCCAGAACUUCCAGGAAUGGGAUGGGAGAGAGACAAAGAGAGGGAGAAAGGAGUGAAGAAGACCCUGAGACCAGGCGGCGAAGAGGAAUGUGCAAUAGCUGUACUUGGGCAAGAGCUAAAAUAGUUGAUGCCAUCUGAGGUUCUAAAAUAGAUGAUUGCACAUUGGUAUGAUGGCAUUGCACGGAGGCCACAGUCAUAAUAUUCAGGACCACACGGUAUGGGAAAAGUGAAAAUUGGCAACAUUUGUUGCUAGUGCUCCCCCUACUUCUCCCUGUGGACCUUCUCCUCCUUUCACUUUGCCUCUACCUCCAAAGAGGGGAAAAAGAUACUCAGACUGUCCAUGGAUUGGAGGAUAAGUUUACCCUAGGUUGCUGCCUUUAAACAUGACCCCCAAGUCCAGACUAGUCCUGCCUCAAUGCAGCCGAACUUAAUUACAAGAACAAAGGACAUAUGACAGUUCAAUUAUUUGGUGCAAUAGCUGAUGUUGGACAUAAAGAGAGUUCACAUACAAUUUAUCCAUUUGGGGAGCUUAAAAAAAUCCACACACCACUAUUUUCUUGAACCCAAAACUUGGCUGAAGUUCUAAAUUUCUGAAAAGAGCCAUUUUGUGUUUCAGUACAAGAUUGUCAUCUAAGAGUCAAGAAUGUUAUUUCAGAGCUGUCAAGUGAACUGUCAAACCACUAUAACAGCAUGUUAACUGAGGAUUUUCCAAAUGAUCAGAUAAAAGCCCAAGGGUAGGAGACUCCUCCUUAAUGUCUAAGUAUUUCCAUUUUCACAUGCCACAGUAUAGCAGAAAGUACGAGGUUAAAAUCUCUGAAUAUCCUUAGGCUUCAACAUUACCAACAAUGGAUUUCUCAGUGAUUUCCAGAGGAAGACAACACAUGUAGAAUCAUGCACAUAAAUGCUGGUUGAGAAUUUGUAGGCUGACUUUGAGUGAUGCCAAUUUGUGGUUACCUCUCUUAGAUGCUAGACUAGGUCCUGUGCGAACAGGGCAUGUUCUUUCAAGCCCCUCCUUAUCUCCCCCAUAUCCACCCAUAUUUGGAAGGUAGA
rnacentral:lncRNA from 1 species